rnacentral:rRNA from 1 species
CCUACGAGGUGCUGCAGUGAGGAAUAUUGGUCAAUGGGCGAGAGCCUGAACCAGCCAAGUCGCGUGAGGGAAGACGGUCCUACGGAUUGUAAACCUCUUUUGUCAGGGAGCAAGGAGCGCCACGCGUGGUGCGGCGAGAGUACCUUAAGAAAAAGCAUCGGCUAACUCCGUGCCAGCAGCCGCGGUAAUACGGAGGAUACGAGCGUUUUCCGGAUUUAUUGGGGUUAAAGGGUGCGCAGGCGGAAGCGGCAAGUCAGCGGUAAAAUGUCGGGGCUCAACCCCGCCGAGCCGGUGAAACUGGUCGUGUAGAGUGGGCCAGAAGGCUGCGGGAUGCGUGGUGGAGCGGUGAAAGGGAU